rnacentral:sRNA from 1 species
AUGAAAAACAAACCUUUGGAUCGUGGCUCACGGCGGCUCCAGUUUGUUUCCAAGCUCCGGCGAACUCUUCUUCUUCGAAAUCGUUCUGCUCCGGCGAUCUAUGUGGCGGUGGUGGAGGUUCGGCGUGAAGGAAGAGAGGAAGCAGAGGAAUGGCGUGAGCCGGCGAUCUGUGUGGCGGUGGUGGAGGUUCGGCGUGUGAAGGAAGAGAGGAAGCAUAGCAAAUGGUUCGGCGUGAAGGAGGUUUUUGUGAGCGUGAAGGAGAUUGAAGGAAGCUGUGUGCGUGGGAGCCUUUUUUCUUUUUCUUUUUUUGCUGUGCGGAAGUUCAGCAUGAAGGCUUUUUGUGUGUUCCUUUUUCCUUUUGACGUGGCGAGCUCUCAUUGGCGUGGCGUAAAACACCCGGACACAAUGUUUUCUCAAAGAUAAUAUUCUAAUUUUUAGGAUUUUUCUCUAUGUGAAAGUUGAUAAAAGUUUGAAAAUUUUAAAAUUAGGAACUUUUUUAAAAAUAGUAAAUUACUCUUUUAAUCAGUUCAUUUUUAGGGUAAAAUAUCAUUUUCGUCCCUAAACUAUCACAAAAGUUCGUUUUUCGUCCCUAAACUUUCAAAAGUUCUAUUUUCAUCCCUAAACUAUCACAAAAGUUCGUUUUUCGUCCUUAAACUUUCAAAAGUUCUAUUUUCGUCCCUAAACUUUCAAAAGUUCUGACGGAGUGCUGACGUGGCUUGACAGAGUGCUGAUGUGGGAGGGACGAAAAUCAAUACGUUUGGAAAAGUUUAAAGAUGAAAAUAGAACUUUUGAAAGUUUAGGGACGAGAAACGAAUUUUUGUGAUAGUUUAGGGACGAAAAUAGAACUUUUGAAAGUUUAGGGACGAAAAAUGAACUUUUGUGAUAGUUUAGGGACGAAAAUGAUAUUUUACCCUAUUUUUAAAUUUAAAAUUAUCUAACUAAAAGAUAUGGGUAUUUUAGAGAGUUUAAGAAUUUGUGUAAGGAUAUUUUAGUACGCAAAAUGAUGAAACACAAAUAGGAAAUCCUCUUAUUAAUAAUAUAUAUAUAUAUAUAUAAUGAUUGUAAAAUUACUGUACAAAUAUUAUUUGUCCAAAAGUUUGCUUGAAUGAGGCACACGAGUGAACAAGUGGCACAAAACUAUUGGUCACAAGCAUAGUAUGAAAAGAUCUUUUUUUUUUCUUCUUAUUAAGUGAAAAAAUCUUUUUAAAGUUUAGGAAUUGUUUUAAAAAGAAAUUUCACAAUAGUUUAGGGACAAUGAAAAAAUAUUUUUUAAAAUUUUAAUGACAAAAGGUGUAACAUUUUCAAUAAUUUAAGGAUGAAAAGGAAAGAUUUUAAAGUUUAGGAUCAAAUAACAACUUCAUGCAAACUUUAAGGAUGCAAACAAUAUGUAUUUUGCCUAAAAUUACUGGGUACUGCAUGAAAGUUCAUGUUUAGUGACUUUAGUCCCUGACAAUGGCUUAGACACCAAUUUUACCAAAUUUUCAAAUUAAUGUCCAAGUACUUAAUUAGUCGGUUUCAUUUACAAAAUGAAUAAGCAAUGGAUAAACAACCACAACAGAACUCAUGUGCAUGCUAACACGACAAAUUGUCUACAAGUGAACUAUGAGACAGUGAACAAUUCACCAAAUCCAGUAAGAAAAUAGUCGUGAUAUAAUAUAAUUUAGAAAACCUACAGUAUAAGUAAUUGUACCUUUAUCCAUAUCCAAGUUCCUUUCUUUAGCUUGUAACAAAACUGCACCAGCCUGUUCUCUUCAAAAUAAAUCGAUGAUGCAAGUUGACCGUCAAUCUUAAAUCCGAUCCGCCAGGGCUACUUGAUGAUUUGUAAUUUCUUCCAUGGUUUCUAGCACCAAUCCAACACACUCAAGAAUGCUUCAGGUGUUUGGAUGGAAUCUCUUCUCAAGGAUGUAUCAAUUUGGAGAGGGUGAAGGUGCGAAGGCUACAAUGGUCUUCUCUCAAGGGAAUAGAUAGUCUCUCCUUCUUAUGAUUUUAGGGUUUUUGAUUUUGAUUAUAUAUGCGUCACAAUUGAGGCUUGAUUGGUGGCAAAAUUAAGCAUGAAAAGAUCGAAAUUGACUUUCCAUAACUAUCUUACUUGUCCGAGUUUCAAGUGAAAUAUUAUGUCCAUGACUGUUGUGUGGAUUCUGAAAAACUCGCCUGAUAGCUCCAUUUUACUCAAUUGAAAUUCCUGCUAUUGCCCUUUGAAGACUCUCGUCUGAACUUGAUCCUCAUUGACAAAAUGCAAUUACAUCGAAAUGAAAAUACAAAUACAAAGAAAUUAUGCAAUUACCAUUGAAAUUUUUUGACGUGGAAUUUAGGUAACACUAAAUAUCCUAACAAUUUCCUCCAAUGGUAAUACCGUGACAAACACCUCAAACAACUUUAGAGAUGAGUUUGUUUAAUUUUGUGAUGACUCUAAUAUUUAUGAACUAUGUGGAAAUUCUAUGACCAUGAAUUAUAUUAGUAAAAUCAUUAGCUAUGUGAUGGACGUUUAUCUAAAAACUAUGCUACAAUUUUUUUUUGUUGUUGCCCCAAGCACUUGGAAUUUGGAAUUAUAUAACCAUGAAAUACAUUAGUAAAAUCAUUACCAAUGACAGGUCCAGUUAGCUAGUGCAAACUCUAAAUUAUUAAAUAAAUAAAUAAAAUAAAAUAAAAACUAAUUACAUUAAUUGAUAUUAUUUUACACAUCUCGAAUUAAUACUUUGUUACAACUGUUUCCAACAAUAUUCUUAUAUUUUUAGUAGAAAAUCAGUACUUUUAUUCAGGAAAUAUCAGAAAGAGUACAAUUUGCAAUCCCUGUUGGAACAGUAUUAUCAAAGCUCAUUCAAGUGAUCUUGCUUUCUUUGCUAGAUCAUGAGCUUCCUUGCCUUUGUACUUGUUGAAAUCAGCACCAAAGCAGCUCCGGAAGCAAAAAAUUAAAACAAUAAAUAUCUUAAACUCUCGUAUAAUAUAAUUAAAUGGAAAUAAAAAAUUAUAUUAUGUUAGGUUCUAAAUAAUAAUUAACUUAAGUAACAACCUGGCUAAUAAAUUAGGUUAAAUGUAUUGUGUUUUCCAAGAGUCUAAAACACAACAUAUUAUAUGGAGAAAUAAGCGUGAAUGAUAGUUGAGUUGUAGUGAGUUUUUUUCACUCUAGGAUUUCUGCGUGAUUAUCUUAUCUCAGAGAGUUUAACUGAAAAGUUUAAAGUUGCCAACAUUCAUUUCAGUUCCUCCAAAUUAGGACAUGAAAGUUAAAGUUUUUAAUGUUUAUUUGAAUGUUAAAAUCAACUUUCUUAUCCACCUUAAUGCCUCCACUCACAACUCAUUAUUUUUGAGAAAUCUCAAUUACAUACUUGACCAAGUCAAAUCCUACACAGCCAAAUAUAGCCAAACAUGCAAUCCCAUUAUUCAAAUAAUUUUAUUAAUAAUUAUUAUUUCAUCUACAAUAUUGUGCAAAGUUCAUGCAAAACAAUUUCUAUUGAGUUUUGACCAUUGCACACAUACACAUUGAGGACUAUUUGGCCACACAAUCCAACAGCUUCCUUGCUUCCAUCUUAAUAUCCUCAGUGAUAUAACCAUGAAGGGCCAUACACUGAUCAAUGGAGUUGAUCUCCUUUAUCACAGUGUCAUUAUCACCCUCAAAAAUUACCCCUUGCUGACCCAUUCGUGAUGCUAACAGCAACGCUUGCCUUGCGGCCAAGAAUUCAACUUCCUCCACCGUUGAUGGCAAUGGGAUGCUUGCACUAAGUGCUGCAAUAGGCUGCCCACUUGAGUCCCUUAGAACAACCCCAAUCCCCGCCUUGCCGGACUCCUUGAAGACAGCACCAUUGAAAUUUGCUUUAAUAUAUUUUCCCUCCGGGUGCACUUCGAGGUUGUAUCCUACGGGAACACAAUUGCACCGUGUGAACCUGGUUGUGUCUCACAAAUUCUUGCAAUAACUCAGGUGCCAGCAACACUGUGGAUCCGAAGGGCUGUACCAUAUAUUUCUUGCAUUCUGACCUUGUUUCUCCUUCGCCACAGACACCAUUAACUUUGAUUGGGAUUUCUUCAUUCAGAGCUCGUCAUAGGAAGGGCUUCACCUCGUCUAGGAGUUGUAGAUCCCAUAUCGCAGUCCAUUAUCUUUGUUGUUGGUCACUGGGAAGAGCUACCAGGUUGUAACACCGGCCGUUGGUUCUCCAUAAGGAUUAAGCAACGGCAUAAUAAAUUAGCUUUGGCUUCAUGGUUCAAAAAUACCUCCUUAACCAAAGACCCUCUCCAUCGAUCUCCUAGUGUUUUCCACCACCAGUUGGUUUACUGUGGCACCUUGUGGCAGCAGCCUCAGUGGAGUUAA